AUUCCCUUAGUAAUGGCGAAUGAAACGGGAAGAGCCCAUCGUCGAAUCGCAAGUCUUCUCGGCUUUGCGAAAUGUGACGUUUGGGAGGGUCUUCCACGGCUCGGACGAUCAGUCAAAGUCCAACUUGACAGUGGCCACAGCCCAUAGAGGGUGAUAGGCCCGUAAGGCGGUCGUCCGGCCGUGCUGACCUCUCUCUAGAGUCGGAUUGCUUGGGAGUGCAGUCCAAAGUGCGAGGUAAACUCCUCGUAAGGCUAAAUAUAACCCCGAGACCGAUAGCAAACAAGUACAGUGAUGGAAAAUUGAAAAGAACUUUGAAGAGAGAGUUAAGAGUACGUGAAACUGUGUGGUGGUAAACGGAGGCGUUCUCGAAGUGUCCGUGGGGGACUCAAGCUUGGUGGCGGGCGGCCGGCACGCUCCGAUCAGCAAUGACGGGGCGUGUCGUGUUGGCUUGCCUCCCGGCCGCACUUUCCCCGCGGUUUACGGCAGGAACCGUUGGGAUCGGACCGAAGGCCCGGGAAGAAGUUGUCGGCCCUCACGG
rnacentral:rRNA from 1 species